rnacentral:rRNA from 1 species
UACGAAGGGUGCUAGCGUUGUUCGGAAUUACUGGGCGUAAAGAGCGCGUAGGCGGUUAUACAAGUCAGGGGUGAAAUCCCGGAGCUUAACUCCGGAACUGCCUUUGAAACUGUAUAGCUGGAGUGUGUGAGGGGAUAGCGGAAUUCCUAAUGUAGAGGUGAAAUUCGUAGAUAUUAGGAGGAACACCGGUGGCGAAGGCGGCUAUCUGGCACACAACUGACGCUGAGGCGCGAAAGCGUGGGGAGCAAACGGG